GCCUCCGGGGUGCUUUGCGAUAAGAAUGUGUCGCCAAGGCUUAAAGGUAAGUUCUACAGAGUGGUGAGUGGUGGUUAGACAAAAAUAAUUGUAUGGGACAGAGUGUUGACCAGUCAAGACGCCCACAUUCAGAAGAUGAAGGUAGCUCCACAUUCAGAAGAUGAAGGUAGCUCCACAUUCAGAAGAUGAAGGUAGCUAGCAGUUAUGAGGAUGCUCAAAUUGGUAUAUUAGGAGAGAUGAUUAGGAAUGACGUUAUUUGGGGCAAUGUUUGAGUGGCCUCCGUGGCGGACAAAUUGAAGAAACGAGGCUAAUGUG
rnacentral:lncRNA from 1 species